CGUGUCUCUAGUGCCAGCCGCCGCGGUAAUACGAAGGAUCCAAGCGUUGUCCGGAUUUACUGGGUUUAAAGGGUGCGUAGGCGGGGAAUUAAGUCAGUGGUGAAAGCUGGUAGCUUAACUAUCAAAUUGCCAUUGAAACUGAUUUUCUCGAGUGCGGUUGAGGUCACUGGAAUGGUAUCAUGUAGCGGUGAAAUGCUUAGAUAUGAUACAGAACACCGAUUGCGAAGGCAGGUGACUAAACCGUACUGACGNUGAGGCACGAAGCGUGGGGAUCAAACAGGAUUAGAUACCCCUGGUAGUCCACGGCUGUAAACGUUGCAUACUCGGGACUUAGCGAUAUACAGUUAGGUCCUAA
rnacentral:rRNA from 1 species